AUUGAACGCUGGCGGCAGGCCUAACACAUGCAAGUCGAACGAGUGGCGGACGGGUGGGUAAUGUCUGGGAAACUGCCUGAUGGAGGGGGAUAACUACUGGAAACGGUAGCUAAUACCGCAUACCAUCAGAUGUGCCCAGAUGGGAUUAGCUUGUGGGUGGGGUAACGGCUCACCAAGGCGACGAGCCCUAGCUGGUCUGAGAGGAUGACCGGCCACACUGGAACUGAGACACGGCCCAGACUCCUACGGGAGGCAGCAGUGGGGAAUAUUGGACAAUGGGCGAAAGCCUGAUGCAGCCAUGCCGCGUGUAUGAAGAAGGCCUUCGGGUCGUAAAGUACUGUCAGCGGGGAGGCGUUAUCUGCAGAGGAAGCACCGGCUAACUCCGUGCCAGCCGCCGCGGUAAUAC
rnacentral:rRNA from 1 species